AUCCAGACUCCUACGGGAGGCAGCAGUGAGGAAUAUUGGUCAAUGGGCGAGAGCCUGAACCAGCCAAGUCGCGUGAAGGAUGACGGCCCUACGGGUUGUAAACUUCUUUUGUCAGGGAGCAGUUGAGUCCACGUGUGGGCUUAGCGAGAGUACCUGAAGAAAAAGCAUCGGCUAACUCCGUGCCAGCAGCUGCGGUAAUACGGAGGAUGCGAGCGUUAUCCGGAUUUAUUGGGUUUAAAGGGUGCGUAGGCGGAAUAUCAAGUCAGCGGUAAAAAUUCGGGGCUCAACCCCGUCGUGCCGUUGAAACUGCAUCCCUUGAGUGCGCGAGAAGUAUGCGGAAUGCGUGGUGUAGCGGUGAAAUGCAUAGAUAUCACGCAGAACUCCGAUUGCGAAGGCAGCAUACCGGCGCGCAACUGACGCUCAUGCACGAAAGCGUGGGUAUCGAACAGGAUUAGAUACCCCAGUAUA
rnacentral:rRNA from 1 species